UACGUAGGGCGCAAGCGUUGUCCGGAAUUAUUGGGCGUAAAGAGCUCGUAGGCGGCCUGUUACGUCUGCUGUGAAAUCCCGGGGCUCAACUCCGGGCCUGCAGCCGAUACGGGCAGACUAGAGUUCGGCAGGGGAGACUGGAAUUCCUGGUGUAGCGGUGAAAUGCGCAGAUAUCAGGAGGAACACCGGUGGCGAAGGCGGGUCUCUGGGCCGAUACUGACGCUGAGGAGCGAAAGCGUGGGGAGCGAACAGG
rnacentral:rRNA from 1 species